rnacentral:rRNA from 1 species
CCUACGGGAGGCUGCAGUGAGGAAUAUUGGUCAAUGGGCGCGAGCCUGAACCAGCCAAGUAGCGUGAAGGAUGACUGCCCUACGGGUUGUAAACUUCUUUUAUAAAGGAAUAAAGUGAGGCACGUGUGCCUUUUUGUAUGUACUUUAUGAAUAAGGAUCGGCUAACUCCGUGCCAGCAGCCGCGGUAAUACGGAGGAUCCGAGGGUUAUCCGGAUUUAUUGGGUUAAAGGGGUGCGUAGGCGGAGCGUUAAGUCAGUGGUCAAAUUGAGGGGCUCAACCCCUUCCCGCCAUUGAAACUGGCGGUAUUGAGUGGAAGAGAAGUAGGCGGAAUGCGUGGUGUAGCGGUGAAAUGCAUAGAUAUCACGCAGAACACCGAUUGCGAAGGCAGCAUGCCGGACUCCGACUGACGCUGAAGCACGAAAGCGUGGGGAUCGAACAGGAUUAGAUACCCGAGUAGUC